ACUACGUGCCAGCAGCCGCGGUAAUACGUAGGUCCGAGCGUUGUCCGGAUUAUUGGCGUAAAGCGAGCGCAGGCGGUUUGAUAAGUCUGAAGUUAAAGGACUGUGGCUCAACCAUAGUUCGCUUUGGAAACUGUCAAACUUGAGUGCAGAAGGGGAGAGUGGGAAUUCCAUGUGUAGCGGUGAAAUGCGUAGAUAUAUGGAGGAACACCGGUGGCGAAAGCGGCUCUCUGGUCUGUAACUGACGCUGAGGCUCGAAA
rnacentral:rRNA from 1 species